GGAGAUAGAGAGGGUGAGCGAAAUGUAGAACAGGUUGGGGGUGAUCCUCCGGCCGAAUGACUUUUAUUUUUUUACUUUGAAAUGAAAUGAAAUUCUCUCUUUUGUUCAAUGACUUGAUGAGAUCGAAAAGUAUCUAAGUUGUGCAAGCGCCUGAUUGUUUGAACAUUUUAAAACAUCAAACUUGAAAGCGAUUAUUAACAUAAGUAUGAGAGGUCGGAAGAACAUUACAAUCAUGAGAUCGGUCGAAACUUAAGAUUAUUAAAAUUGGAAACAUGAUUUGAACACUUAAGAUCGGAA
rnacentral:misc_RNA from 1 species